AGGGUUCGAUUCUGGCUCAGGAUGAACGCUGGCGGCGUGCCUAACACAUGCAAGUCGAGCGGAGAUAAGUGAAGCCUAGCGAUUCUUAUCUUAGCGGCGGAUGGGUGAGUAACACGUGGGUAACCUGCCCUGCACUGGGGAAUAACAGCUGGAAACGGCUGUUAAUGCCGCAUAUGCGCACGGAGCCGCAUGGCUUUGGGCGGAAAGAUUUAUCGGUGCAGGAUGGGCCCGCGCCGGAUUAACUAGUUGGCGGGGUAACGGCCCACCAAGGUGAUGAUCCGUAGCCGACCUGAGAGGGUGACCGGCCACAUUGGGACUGAGACACGGCCCAAACUCCUACGGGAGGCAGCAGUGGGGGAUAUUGCACAAUGGGGGAAACCCUGAUGCAGCGACGCCGCGUGAAGGAUGAAGUAUUUCGGUAUGUAAACUUCUAUCAGCGGGGAAGAAGAUGACGGUACCCGACUAAGAAGCCCCGGCUAACUACGUGCCAGCAGCUGC
rnacentral:rRNA from 1 species